GGGAGGGGUGGCUGUGGUGGCAUGGACCGGGAGCUGCUGCGUCAGGUGCUCAACUACCAUGGUCCUGAGCUGCUCUCGCUGCUCCGCGCCGAGCAGCAGGACAACCCUGACUUCCGCGGGCUGCUGCCGCCGCCGGGGACCGUCUUCGAACAGCCACGUGGAGCCCCGCAACCACCGGCAGCCUGCAAAGAGAGGACGAGCCUUGACACCGAGAUAAAGCGCUUCAUUGCCAAAAAAGCUGAUCUCCUUUUUGCCCACUCGUGGAGACCCAGCGGGCCUCUCUCCGAAACGAUUGAAGAAAAUGAAGAUUAUUACGCUGUUAUGCCACCCCUGGAACAGUUCAUGGAGGUUUCCAGGGAAGAGAGGAGAGGAUUAUUUUUUCAAGACAUCGAUCGUGGUGAUAUCGUGAUUGGGAAGAUUACUUCUAUUCGUGAAUUUGGCUUUUUUAUGGUGUUGAUUUGUCUGGGAAGUCGUUUCAUACGGGAAAUUUCAGAUUUACAAAUCACUGCUCUUUGUCCUUUGAGAGAUGUGCCUUCUCAAAGCAGCCAUGGAGAUCCUUUAUCUUAUUAUCAAACUGGAGACCUUAUUCGAGCUGUUGUCAAGGAUGUUGAUCGUUACCAUGAGAAGCUCGCGGUGUCACUUUACAGCUCUCCUCUUCCACCCCAUCUUUGCAAGACAAAACUAGGCGUAAUUACUUCUGAUGACUUCCCACUACAUUAUAAGCGAAGCAUGGAAGUUGCUAAUACAGCAGAGACCUUUGAAGAGGUUUUGCAUCGUUCCCCAGGAUUUGGUAAUCCAUCAUUAGUUGAAUAUUUAGCAGAAAAACUAGGAAUAAGUGAAUCAAAUCCACCAUCUUUGCUAAGAAGUCUUCAAAUUAAAAAUUUCAAUGAAGAAGAUUUUGCCCCUGCAUUGAGGAAAAAGCAGUCUGAAUCAUGGGCCUUGAAAUGUGUGAAGGCAGGGGUUGAUUAUUUUAAGGAUGGGCACCAUGUGGAAGCCAUGAAUGAGUACAACAAGGCUUUGGAAUUUGAUCCAGAGAAUGUUGAAGCUCUGGUAGCACGUGGAGCUCUGUAUGCAACAAAAGGAAGUCUGAACAAAGCCAUAGGUGACUUUGAAAUUGCUUUAGCAAACUGUCCUACCCAUAGAAAUGCAAGAAAAUACCUCUGUCAGACUCUUGUGGAAAGAGGCGGGCAGUUGGAAGAGGAAGACAAACUAGUAAAUGCUGAGAGUUAUUAUAAGAAAGCCUUAAGUUUGGAUGAGACUUUUCAAGAAGCAGAAGAGGCCUUAACAAAACUCCGUAAGCAUAUACAGGUGAUUCUUUACUUUCUCUUCAUACAGUGCUCUCAGUGACAAUAAACAUCAAAAAUCAUAUUAGAUCUUUUGAACAUGGUGAGUUUAAGGUCAUGGUUUGUCUGCUUCCCUUCUUUAAAGUAAAUCUUUUACAGUAAGCAUUAUGGCUGUACCUGUCAGAAGAAGGUACCCCUUGAUGAGUUCACUAUUUUGAAGUGGGUAGUAAAGAAAUGCCAAAUAGUGGAGACAGGGAAAAGAGCAAAGCCUGUUAACCCUGUCAGCUAAAGCAAGGAUAAGAAUAUUUCAUCAUACAAGCAUGAUUAACACUGUUAAAUGAUAACAUUAUGUGAAUAUAAACAGAGAAAGUGUAAGCUUGAGCAAGCCAAAUAAACAUUUCACACCAUCUUACUGGCCAAAUCCUUGUCAUUUGGAGUAAUUGUGAAAAUGUAGAGUAACACCAGCCAAAACUAACUCACAGGAAGAUCACAGGAGAGGGGAAAUGAAGAUGUAAUUUAAAGGAAAACAGCAGGAGGUGGAGGGUUGGGCAGACAGUUUUUACUCCCCUCUGCUGUUUUUGGUUUGUUUUCUCACUUCUCUUGCAUGCAGCAUGGUUCCCAGGUGAGCCCUGGUGGGUCUCUCUGCUAAUUUGAGUUAAAAUUGUUUUUCUUUUAUUUACCUCCUUAACUUGUGUUGACUUCCACAGAGGGUCAAAGAGUAAAAUAGAGCACUGAGGAGCAGGCUUUUUUUGUUCUAUGGUUCUGUGUGUAACAAGUACAUAAACUGAGAUAGAUGGCCUUAAUCAGCACUUCUUCAGUUGGUGGAGCCAUAAUGCUGACAGACUGUGUUGAAAGAGGGGAAGAGGAGAUACAACGAUCUCUUUAGUUAAACUGAACUACAUCAUAGAUAAACUGUUAUACAGUACUUGAGACACGUUUGGCUUCUUUAGAAAGAGGUGUCAGUCUGUUAAAAUUAAUAUCCUUAGCAAGUAGAUGAAUUUUACACUCCUUUAGGGUUUCCUAAUGUAUGGGUCAUUGAAGCACCAAAUAAAAGCCACAAUGAUAGCUAUUGUUUGUUGGUUUGCAUAGCCUUAACUGAAAUUAAGGAUUUCCUUUACAAUAUCUAUUCAGACAGUUGCUAAGUUUUGAAAGCAGUCAGACUCUGUUCACUCUUAAUAUGAAUAGAGCUCCUCUUCAGGGCUGUGAAGUGCAGAUAUCUGAUCUCUUAAUAGGCUUAUAUAGUUUAAGGAUUAUUCAUCUGGUGACAUGCUCUUCUGCAUUUACCUGUAUUUUAAUACAUAAGUCUGAAUCUUUUGUGCGAGAAUGGCUAAAGCAACACUGGAGUAUUGUUUUCCCGUAAUACUGAUUAUGUGUUUUUCUCCAAUGCAUUUUCUUCCGAAUUGGACCGUUGUUGCUGUAUCUGACAUCUGGUGCUGCUCAUCACCCACAAACCCUUGGAACAUGAUUUCUUACAUAAACUAUGCAUCAAACUGGUCUGUGAAAUUGUUACCAAACGAAAUCUUUGGAAAUGAGGGAGAAACAAGCUGCCAAAGAAGAGAGACAAAAAGAAAAGAAAAUUGAAACAAGUGCAGAGAAAUUGCGUAAGCUCUUAAAAGAAGAAAAAAGGUUGAAGAAGAAACGGAAAGUUUCA